rnacentral:rRNA from 1 species
CCACGCCGUAAACGAUGAUUACUAGGUGUAGGAGGUAUCGACCCCUUCUGUGCCGGAGUUAACACAAUAAGUAAUCCACCUGGGGAGUACGGCCGCAAGGUUGAAACUCAAAGGAAUUGACGGGGGCCCGCACAAGCAGUGGAGUAUGUGGUUUAAUUCGACGCAACGCGAAGAACCUUACCAGGGCUUGACAUCCUCUGACCGUCCUAGAGAUAGGAUUUUCUCUUCGGAGACAGAGAGACAGGUGGUGCAUGGUUGU